UACAUUUCCAUAUUAAUAGUUCUGUCUAGGCAUUGGUGUAUAUCUUACCACUCCCUUGGAUGAGAUCAAAACAAGACUACAAGUACAAGGAUCAACCUUGAGGUACAAAGGCUGGUUGGAUGCAAUUCGCAGCGUAUGGAGGGCCGAAGGGGUUACAUGGUAUAUUCCAGCUUCAGCACUUACGUUUAUGGCUGUAGAAUUUCUGAGUGAACAUUUCAACGAAGGAUUGAGCAACGAGAACACCCGAGAAGUUGCUAGCAUGUCAGUGGAGAAAAGUGAUCACGUUUACAAGGAACCGCUUGAGAAGUAGAAAUAUAUGCACAGAUUCUUUUGCCCAUCAUGUAGUUCUGACGAGACUUUCGUCGUGUUUUCGUGUAGUACGUGUACAUACACACGUAUAAAUUGCAUUUAAUCCUAACUAGGGUUUUUUUU